rnacentral:rRNA from 1 species
CCCUCUAGCGGGGGGAUCACUCGCUCAUGGGUCGAUGAAAAACCCACCAACU